AUGACUGUUACUUUAUUUUAUUUUAACCUGAAAGGUAAGCAAGAUUUAGUGGACAGCAAGCUCUUCUCAAAGCUAGGAAGAGUACUCAGGAGGGGGAUCCAGAACCCAGAGCCAGAGACCAAAUACUCGAACCAGAAGUCACUCGGGUCAACAAGGAAUAGAAUCAUGGAUUAGGAGAGCUGGAAAAGAGCCCUGGGAUCCCUGGUUCAUCCUUCUUAUUUUACAGCAAGGAAGCAAAGUCCAGGAAAUUAAAGCGAUGUGGGGAACCAAGGUCACCCAACUCAGAGAUGGCUCUGGGACGCCUGGUCUCCGGACUCCCGGUCCAGUAUCCUUUCUUCUCCAUCACUCCAUUUUAUUUCAAGUGGAAUUAUUUUGAAAGGGAUUAACUUGUGAGUACAUAUUUCUGGGUUUGUUCAUAAGCUCAUAAACAUAAGGAACUCCCAGUGUAGAGACUCCUUCCAUGCGUAUACAUUGUCUAGACUCUUCUGCAACACAGUCAUAGAGUCUGGGUCAGAGGCUUGGCUUGAACCUAGGAUUACCCAGCUCAAAGGCCUGUUCUUUCUACUGCCCCCAGCAUGUCUCUCAUGAAGAAUUAACCAUCAUUCUGGAAAAUGUAAACAGAUAAAGCCGUCUGCAUUUGAUGUUAUCUCAGCAAUAACCAUUUCCAGCAGAAUUAGUAGGGAAGACACUGGUCCUGGUUUUUGUAAGAGGGAUGGGAUUACUAUUAUGCCACACUUUUGUUCUGUAGAAAUCCUCCCUUUCUCUCCCCUCACCUGCAGCUCAGAACUGGAAUUUAAACACCAAACUACAAUGAAGUUAUUAUGUGGAUGCUGCAUGUGGCUUACAUUUGGAGCCAGGGUGGUCUAAAAACUAGAAGAAACGUUUGGGAUUCAGGGAGCCUGGGUUCCAUUGUGGACCCAGCCUUAGAAUAAUAUCAACUAAGUCACUUUAUCUCUCGAGUAUUUGGCUAUUAAAUAAGCUGGAUCGUGCAUGGUACACUGAUUUUUUUCCCUCUAUCUUCCCAUUGAAAACUGGUCACCCUGUGGGCAGAGGAAUAUCAGUUCCUGGAAGGGCGCAAAUGGCCAUCAUUCAAUCAUUUUGAGCUUCCUAAAUCCUUGCCUUUUUUUUGACCCCUUAGAAAAGUGAACAGAGUGUUAUCCUGGGAUAUCUUGGUUCCCUCCAGAUUGUCGUAUCAUAAUCCUCUCUAUCUGGCAACCUCUUUUGUCUGGGAAAAUGUAUCUGAAUCUCAGGAUCUGAGUCACUCUGUACUGGUACAUUAAGGGACAAAACACAAUUGGCUCGUUGGGCUCAGUCAGUUUCAUCAUCACUGACUUUCAAAGUGUAAUUGUGACCUUCUCUGAUAUUCCCACCAACUAUGUGCUUCAGAGCACAUAUUUCUAUUAAUAUUAUCUGGCUAUGACUGAGUCAUAUGUCAAAACAAGUUCAAGUUACGGCACAGAAGUUGGUUCCACUUCCCGAUAUCCCAGCUAACAGCUCUUGAGGUCCAACUCACGAGAAAAUCCAAGUCAAAAAUAGGCUCUUAGCCAACUACAGCGAACUGGGGUAUUUUUAGAGAUCAUUGGUCCCUAGUGAACUUCAAUGAUAGCCAGUACUUCCAUUGUACUUUGAGUACAUUCAAAUUAUACUUUAAAAAAUAAAUGUUACUGAUAUCUUUUGUUUUACA
ensembl:lncRNA